AAUAAGUGUAGUUUUACACUAUUCACAUUUAACGUUUGACCGUUCAUCUUAUUUGAAAAUUUUGUAUUAGAUAAUAAAAUAUGAAUAGUACUUUAUGUGUGGCUAUUUUUUUUAAUUAUUUCAUAAAUUUUUCAAAUAAGAAGGACGGUCAAACGUUGGACACGGAUAUCCACGACUGUACUUAUU
rfam:Oryza sativa Japonica Group DNA, chromosome 1, cultivar: Nipponbare, complete sequence.